CCAUUACUUGCGAAAUCACCACUUUUAUCAGGGUGUGAUGAUUCAUACUCCUUCCACAACUUAAUCAGUUCUUGCAUACAUUCCCCAACUUUGUAAACAACAACCGGCACCUCUGGUUUGCCUGGAUCAUCAGUAUAACAUAGUUCAACAAGCUGACGCUCUAACCAAAUUAUGUUUCCCAUAACAGUACAAAGAGUUUAAAGUAGUAAGAUAAAAGUAGCAGACACUUGAUAUAUGUUUAUUAGACCUAGACCUUAGACCAAUCACGAAAAAUGCAGAGGUAUAAGCAACUUCAAGGAACCCAAAUCUGAAAUAGUAUCGAGGAUGAACCGACUUUUUGAAUUCUAUAUUUUACAUUUUAGUGUGAGAGUAACGAACUGCAACCUAAAGACCAUUAUCAAUGCACAUGUAAAAUCAAAUGCCAGUUUAACCGAUUUCUUUUUGUUCUCCAAGCAGUGCAAAAGGAUCCUUUCUCGAAGAUAUUGUAACGAAUGAUUACCUUGUACCCUGCAAAAGAAACACAAUCAAACAUAAAUGAUUAGAUUAAAUGCCAGAUUAGUGACUGAAAAAAAGUUGAGGACUUAGCCAAUAACUAACUUACAUGAUAAAAAAAAUAAAUGCAGGCCAAAAUAUUCUUAACACAGUGAAAGAUAGGCGGUAGAGAAGAAUAUCCAGAGAGAAAAAAAAAAUCAAAUUUAGGUUUCAAGAGAUAAGUGACACUACAAAGUACAACUAUGGAUGCAAAGUUUUCUUUUAAGUCAAAAAAACAAUAAUGGUAAUAAGAUAUCUAUCACCGGCACAUUUGACUAAAUAGGUUCAAUUUCAAACUUCAACAAAUCUUGGCAUGUCUCUCUAAAUGCUAAGAAAUUUUAGAGGAUUUAGCUAAGAAAUGAGAGGCAGAGAGACGCACCCUUCGUUGUCCUGACUCCGUGAACGGACACGGUCGCGGUUUGUGGUCUGUGGGCUGCCUCUCGGUCUCAGCAUUCUCUUCCGUUGCUGAACUCCACAGUUGAAGGCAUCCUUAUCCCUCUCUGCAGCUCCUUCACCC
rnacentral:lncRNA from 1 species